GGCAAACACUCGCCAGCCCCGGCUCCCCGUCCGCAUCUACACACGCCGCUGCUUCUGCUUCCAUCGCUCCCUCCGCUCCAGCUCUCCAACACCCACGACCAGGUUGCUCAGAGCACAGCAGCGCCUCCUCCAAAACCGGAGACAUUGAAACAUGUCUAGCCAAAAAAGUGGGGGGUGGGGGGCUAUGCCCCCCGGUUCCGCGGCCCAUGCUAUACCUCAUGUGUGGCCUCAUUCUGGCAAUGGAGAAGGCUCUGGACAGAAAGAAAUCCAGGCACUUGGGUUCAGCGGUUGUAUGAACGGGCUCUUUGGCUAUUUCGAAAUAUCACAUGAACGUCCUGCUUCGCUUGAAGUCACAA